UUACGUCUGACGUCACAGCGUAGCCAUUUCUGAACGCGCCGUAGUCCCAGUAUCUACCGUCGCGUGCUGUGGAAAAAGAAAAUAAUCUAAAAUUUGUGAAGAUUUGUGAUGUUUUAUGAACUAAGAAAGCUUAUUUAGCAAGUGAAGUUAUAUUUAAUUCUUUAUUAGUUAGAUAUAUCAAGAACAACAAUAAUAACAGGCGGAUUGUACGCUUAGUAAGGUGCUUUGUUUAUUCAGUACUUAGAAGUGUAGUAUUUAUCUAACUGAUAUUGUUUUUUUGCAGCUAAUAUAAUGACUAAUGCGCUUUAUUUUGAAGUUAUAGAGAGCUUGUGUACAUUUAUAAUGGUUACAGUGAAGUUUUGUUGGCUAGGUUAGGACUCUUAUCCUUUUUGUACUAUUAAAAGUUAAAUGUUUAAAAUUUGCGUCUGUUUGCAGGAACAGUUCUGCAUCCUGUCCAUCACUGCACUCCUGAGGGUUGCCAUUUAUUCUGUUUGUUUAAGCGGACCUACAACCGUCCAGACGCUCUGAAUGACAGCCUGAAGGAUCAUCAUAAGAUCCUUUCCUGUCCUGGGUUUCGCCUGUGAAGACUUCAUUUGUUGUUUAAACACAACACUAUAAACCAACAUGAAGAACAAAGCACUGUCUAUGGGAGAAAAGAAAGACAUUGUGAAGCUGAAAGAAGAGGGAAAAUCGAUCAGGGCCAUUUCAAAGGCAUUGGGCAUAGCCAAAUCAACGAUUUGGAAUGUCCUGAAAAAGCAAGAAACCACCGGGUUACUAACAGCCAAACAUCGAACUGGUCGGCCGAGGAAAACAACAGCAGUUGAUGACAGAAACAUUGUGAGAGCUUUGCAGGAAAACCCAGAAACAACAGUCAGUGACAUCACCAACAAUCUCCACAUGGCAGGGGUGAAGGUAUCACAAUCCACCGUUCGACGAAGACUUUGGGAGCAGAAAUAUCUAUUCCGUUACAUAAGUUUCAAACCACUCGUCAGCACUGACACGGACGGAUUGGAACGUACAGAGGAUACAGAGAUGAGAGAUAUAAAACAAGAGCAGUGUGAUGAAUUGUGGCAGCAGACAGAAUGUGUCUAUAAUGACUCCUCGGACUCGAAUGAUGACAGGUCAAACAAAGACGUGACAUGUGAAGAAACAGAAGGUGAAGCUUCUGUGGAGCUUCCAGGUGUAGCUAGCAUUGGCACGCAGACGCCCUGUACAUCGGGUUUAUUGACUAGGACUACAUGAAACUAUGUUUAUAUUUCCAUCAUUCCAGUAUGGCAUUAAUGAUCAUUGUUUAAUCUGACAUGAACAUGUUAUUGCACAGUCUGUUAUAUUCUUAUUGUACUGUGUGACAUGUAAUUAGCCUAUUGUAAAAGCCCGCUGUCAUUUUGUGCAUAAACCAAUAAAUAGAUUAGUCAGUGUAAUGCAUAAAACUUAGUUUGUCGAAGUAAUAGUCAACAUUAAAAGCAACAUGUUAAAUGUUA